rnacentral:ncRNA from 1 species
GAUUACAUUUUUUCUCUCUGUAAUCGCGGCUG